CGUGAGACAGGUUGGUUUCCUAUCUUCUGCAGCCGUUCGAAUAUUGAGAAGAUUUGCUCCUAGUACGAGAGGACCGGAGUGAACUGACCUCUGGUGUACCUGCUCUAGCGCCAGCUGGACCGCCCAGUAGCUAUGUCGGGAAUGGAUAAGUUCUGAAAGCAUCUAAGAACGAAGCCAACUUCAAGAUAAGUAUUCGUUGAAGGGUCGUAAGAGAUUAUUACGUUGAUAGGAGCUAGAUGUACGCACAGCAAUGUGUUUAGUCGAGGCUUACUAAGUACCCGAAUCCUAUU
rnacentral:rRNA from 1 species